CCUACGGGAGGCAGCAGUGAGGAAUAUUGGUCAAUGGACGGAAGUCUGAACCAGCCAUGCCGCGUGCAGGAAGACGGCUCUAUGAGUUGUAAACUGCUUUUGUACAAGGGUAAACCUGAAUACGUGUAUUCAGCUGAAAGUACUGUACGAAUAAGGAUCGGCUAACUCCGUGCCAGCAGCCGCGGUAAUACGGAGGAUCCAAGCGUUAUCCGGAUUUAUUGGGUUUAAAGGGUGCGUAGGCGGAUUGAUAAGUGAGAGGUGAAAUGUCCGAGCUUAACUCGGGAACUGCCUCUAAUACUGUUGGUCUAGAGAGUAGAUGCGGUAGGCGGAAUGUAUGGUGUAGCGGUGAAAUGCUUAGAGAUCAUACAGAACACCGAUUGCGAAGGCAGCUUACCAAUCUAUAUCUGACGUUGAGGCACGAAAGCGUGGGGAGCAAACAGGAUUAGAUACCCCGGUAGUC
rnacentral:rRNA from 1 species